UACGUAGGGACCAAGCGUUGUUCGGAUUUACUGGGCGUAAAGGGCGCGUAGGCGGCCUUGCAAGUCGGUUGGUGAAAGCCCGGGGCUCAACCCCGGAGGUGCGGCCGAGACUGCAGGGCUGGAGGCCGGAAGAGGAGGGUGGAAUACCCAGUGUAGAGGUGAAAUUCGUAGAUAUUGGGUGGAACACCGGUGGCGAAAGCGGCUCUCUGGUCCGGACCUGACGCUGAGGCGCGAAAGCGUGGGGAGCAAACAGG
rnacentral:rRNA from 1 species